rnacentral:rRNA from 1 species
UACAGAGGUCUCAAGCGUUGUUCGGAUUCAUUGGGCGUAAAGGGUGCGUAGGCGGCGCGGUAAGUCGGGUGUGAAAUCUCGGAGCUUAACUCCGAAACUGCAUUCGAUACUGCCGUGCUUGAGGACUGGAGAGGAGACUGGAAUUUACGGUGUAGCGGUGAAAUGCGUAGAUAUCGUAAGGAAGACCAGUGGCGAAGGCGGCUUCCUGGUCCAGCACCGACGUUCAGGCACGAAAGCGUGGGGAGCAAACAGG